UACGGAGGGUGCAAGCAUUAAUCGGAUUUAUUGGGCGUAAAGGGCGCGUAGGCGGGAAUAUAAGUCAGAUGUGAAAUCCCGGGGCUCAACCCCGGAACAGCAUUUGAAACUGUUUUUCUUGAGGGUAGGCGGAGAGAAUGGAAUUCCACAUGUAGCGGUGAAAUGCGUAGAUAUGUGGAAGAACACCAGUGGCGAAGGCGGUUCUCUAGCUUAUUCCUGACGCUAAAGCGCGAAAGCAGGGGGAUCAAACAG
rnacentral:rRNA from 1 species